rnacentral:rRNA from 1 species
UACGUAGGGGGCUAGCGUUGUUCGGAAUUACUGGGCGUAAAGGGCUCGUAGGCGGCCAACUAAGUCGGAUGUGAAAUCCCCAGGCUUAACCUGGGAACUGCAUCCGAUACUGGAUGGCUUGAAUCCGGGAGAGGGAUGCGGAAUUCCAGGUGUAGCGGUGAAAUGCGUAGAUAUCUGGAGGAACACCGGUGGCGAAGGCGGCAUCCUGGACCGGCAUUGACGCUGAGGAGCGAAAGCCAGGGGAGCAAACGGG